GACAGAGGGUGCAAACGUUGUUCGGAAUUACUGGGCGUAAAGCGCGUGUAGGCUGUUUCGAAAGUCGGAUGUGAAAGCCCUGGGCUCAACCUAGGAAGUGCAUUCGAAACUUCGAGACUCGAGUCCUGGAGAGGAUCGCGGAAUUCUCGGUGUAGAGGUGAAAUUCGUAGAUAUCGAGAGGAACACCGGUGGCGAAGGCGGCGAUCUGGACAGUGACUGACGCUGAGACGCGAAAGCGUGGGGAGCAAACAGG
rnacentral:rRNA from 1 species